GACUCGUGGCGAAAAGCUCAGUAACACGUGGCCAAACUACCCUGUGGACCAGAAUAACCUCGGGAAACUGAGGCUAAUGCUGGAUAGCGCCCGCAUCCUGGAACUGGAGCGGGUGUCAAACGUUCCGGCGCCACAGGAUGUGGCUGCGGCCGAUUAGGUAGACGGUGGGGUAACGGCCCACCGUGCCGAUAAUCGGUACGGGUCAUGAGAGUGAGAGCCCGGAGACGGUAUCUGAGACAAGAUACCGGGCCCUACGGGGCGCAGCAGGCGCGAAACCUUUACACUGCACGACAGUGCGAUAGGGGGACCCCGAGUGCGAGGGCAUACAGUCCUCGCUUUUCUGUACCGUAAGGAGGUACAGGAAUAAGUGCUGGGCAAGACCGGUGCCAGCCGCCGCGGUAAUACCGGCAGCACGAGUGAUGGCCGAUCUUAUUGGGCCUAAAGCGUCCGUAGCCGGCCAGACAGGUCCGUCGGGAAAUCUGCGCGCCCAACGCGCAGGCGUCCGGCGGAAACCAGCUGGCUUGGGGCCGGAAGAUCCAGGGGGUACGUCCGGGGUAGGAGUGAAAUCCCGUAAUCCCGGACGGACCACCGGUGGCGAAAGCGCCCUGGAAGGACGGACCCGACGGUGAGGGACGAAAGCUAGGGUCACGAACCGGAUUAGAUACCCGGGUAGUCCUAGCCGUAA
rnacentral:rRNA from 1 species